GCCCAUAUAGCUCAGUGGUAGAGCACUCCCUUGGUAAGGGAGAGGUCAGCAGUUCAAAUCUGCUUAUGGGCUCCA
rnacentral:tRNA from 1 species